rnacentral:tRNA from 1 species
GGGCCAUUAGCUCAGUUGGUAGAGCGUUGCAAUGGCAUUGCAAAGGUCAGCGGUUCGACUCCGCUAUGGUCCACCA